rnacentral:rRNA from 1 species
AACGAACGCUGGCGGCAUGCCUAAUACAUGCAAGUCGAACGAGAUCUUCGGAUCUAGUGGCGCACGGGUGCGUAACGCGUGGGAAUCUGCCCUUGGGUUCGGAAUAACUUCUGGAAACGGAAGCUAAUACCGGAUGAUGACGUAAGUCCAAAGAUUUAUCGCCCGAGGAUGAGCCCGCGUAGGAUUAGCUAGUUGGUGGGGUAAAGGCCCACCAAGGCGACGAUCCUUAGCUGGUCUGAGAGGAUGAUCAGCCACACUGGGACUGAGACACGGCCCAGACUCCUACGGGAGGCAGCAGUAGGGAAUAUUGGACAAUGGGGGAAACCCUGAUCCAGCAAUGCCGCGUGAGUGAUGAAGGCCUUAGGGUUGUAAAGCUCUUUUACCCGGGAUGAUAAUGACAGUACCGGGAGAAUAAGCUCCGGCUAACUCCGUG